GCAACCCUUAUCCUUUGUUGCCAGCGGUCCGGCCGGGAACUCAAAGGAGACUGCCAGUGAUAAACUGGAGGAAGGUGGGGAUGACGUCAAGUCAUCAUGGCCCUUACGACCAGGGCUACACACGUGCUACAAUGGCAUAUACAAAGAGAAGCGACCUCGCGAGAGCAAGCGGACCUCAUAAAGUAUGUCGUAGUCCGGAUUGGAGUCUGCAACUCGACUCCAUGAAGUCGGAAUCGCUAGUAAUCGUAGAUCAGAAUGCUACGGUGAAUACGUUCCCGGGCCUUGUACACACCGCCCGUCACACCAUGGGAGUGGGUUGCAAAAGAAGUAGGUAGCUUAACCUUCGGGAGGGCGCUUACCACUUUGUGAUUCAUGACUGGGGUGAAGUCGUAACAAGGUAACCGUAGGGGAACCUGCGGUUGGAUCACCUCCUU
rnacentral:rRNA from 1 species